rnacentral:misc_RNA from 1 species
GAUCUUCUGCCCCGGGUGCGUCGCAGCCCCGGACCAAGGCGCCCGCCGGAGGACCAACCUAAAACUCUUAUUGUAUACCCCUCGCGGGUUUUUUUAUAAUCUGAGCCUUCUCGGCGCCUCUCGUAGGCGUUUCGAAAAUGAAUCAAAACUUUCAACAACGGAUCUCUUGGUUCUGGCAUCGAUGAAGAACGCAGCGAAAUGCGAUAAGUAAUGUGAAUUGCAGAAUUCAGUGAAUCAUCGAAUCUUUGAACGCACAUUGCGCCCGCCAGUAUUCUGGCGGGCAUGCCUGUCCGAGCGUCAUUUCAACCCUCGAACCCCUCCGGGGGGUCGGCGUUGGGGAUCGGCCUCCCUCACCGGGGGCCGUCUCCGAAAUACAGUGGCGGUCUCGCCGCAGCCUCUCCUGCGCAGUAGUUUGCACACUCGCAUCG